rnacentral:rRNA from 1 species
UGGGGCCUCUAAGGUGACUGCCGGUGACAAACCGGAGGAAGGUGGGGAUGACGUCAAAUCAUCAUGCCCCUUAUGACCUGGGCUACACACGUGCUACAAUGGAUGGUACAAAGGGAAGCGAAACCGCGAGGUCGAGCCAAUCCCAUAAAACCAUUCUCAGUUCGGAUUGCAGGCUGCAACUCGCCUGCAUGAAGCCGGAAUCGCUAGUAAUCGCGGAUCAGCAUGCCGCGGUGAAUACGUUCCCGGGCCUUGUACACACCGCCCGUCACACCACGAGAGUUUGUAACACCCGAAGUCGGUGGGGUAACCUUUUGGAGCCAGCCGCCUAAGGUGGGACAGAUGAUUGGGGUGAAG